ACAGUCAUCAGUGACAUUAAAGAUGUGGUUUGUGACCUCAGACAUGAGAUAAAAGCUUCACGCAGGCACAGUCAGGAGCUGAAGCAAGACUUCUACAACAGUGACGUCUCAGAGACGUCCUCUUUCUGUGGCCUCACACAGUCCUAUCGAGCUGAAGACAUCCUCAGCCCAUCUGUGUUAGUGGUGGAGACGGUUGACCAUGAGGUGGAACGAACACGAAAUCUGCCAAAUGGAUUAUAUGGCCACGCCAAGUCUACUGUAAAAACACCAUUCACAAGAUCAUGACCUGCCAAGGCUGACAGAAGGCAACAAAUCACGCAUUGUACGGCACAGGCACUGAGGACGUACAGGGCAUCACAGCAGGCUAUGCAGGAUGACUGUCCUAUUGAGAUAUUCCUGCAGCUUCUGUCUCUUCUUUCUCCUUCCUUUGAGGAUGCAAACUGCACAUUCAGCUCCAGAUUUCUCUUUGUAUCUUGAUAACAUCCUGAAGAACCAGACUGCUCAUGCCUGUGAAGGAGACACUCUAUCCAUUAAAUGUCCCUCCAGGAUGACUGUGGCCGUGCUGUCAGCUUUCUAUGGAUUCCAUGUCCACAGUCAGUAUGUGUUCGUGUGUCCUUCUGCCAGCGCCAACACAACCAUGGAGGAGGAUGCACAAUGUACAUCCCAAGCUGUGGAAACCUCACAAUGAGAUCAAAGUCAACAUGUGUUUUGUCUUUUGUUUCAAUGAAAUGUAUCAUGACCAAUAAUUUCUGUCCAAUUGUUUAUCAGUCACGUGUGUAUUUUUCCUGAACGUGCAGAAAGUCAUGUCCAAGCGUCAGGAUCGCCACUCCUGCCACAUUCCUGUC
rnacentral:lncRNA from 1 species